rnacentral:rRNA from 1 species
UACGUAGGGGGCUAGCGUUGUCCGGAAUCAUUGGGCGUAAAGCGCGCGUAGGCGGCCCGAUAAGUCUGCUGUGAAAGUCCAGGGCUCAACCCUGGAAUGCCGGUGGAUACUGUCGGGCUAGAGUUCGGAAGAGGCAAGUGGAAUUCCUGGUGUAGCGGUGGAAUGCGCAGAUAUCGUAAGGAAGACCAGUGGCGAAGGCGGGUCUCUGGACAGUUCCUGACGCUGAGGCACGAAGGCCAGGGGAGCAAACGGG